ensembl:snRNA U6 U6 spliceosomal RNA
AUGCUUUAGCAGCACAUAUGCUAAAAUGGGAAUGAUGCAGAGAAGAUUAGCAUGGCCUCUGGGCAAGGAUGACUUGCAAAUUCAUGAAGCAUUUCAUACUUUU